ACAAUAAAACAUAACCGGCUGUGACAUCCAGAACCUCACUGAUUGUCAGGAUUGAUUCGGCUGAUCUGGCUGGCUUCGUGGGUGUCCACUUCCUCCUUCACUGCUCCAUCUGUUUCCUCCCAACGCUGCACAGUUGGUCAAAGAUGAUAGCACUCACUGAAUAGCAGAGUACCAGCCUUUGGUCACAAGUACACAGGUAGCUUCACUCCCCUGCUAGAACCUCCAGAUGAGUUCUCCAAAGUUGUUUUU
rnacentral:sRNA from 1 species